AACGAACGCUGGCGGCAUGCCUAACACAUGCAAGUCGAACGAGACCUUCGGGUCUAGUGGCGCACGGGUGCGUAACGCGUGGGAACCUGCCCUUAGGUUCGGGAUAACUCCCCGAAAGGGGUGCUAAUACCGGAUAAUGUCUUCGGACCAAAGAUUUAUCGCCUUUGGAUGGGCCCGCGUUGGAUUAGCUAGUUGGUAGGGUAAAAGCCUACCAAGGCGACGAUCCAUAGCUGGUCUGAGAGGAUGAUCAGCCACACUGGGACUGAGACACGGCCCAGACUCCUACGGGAGGCAGCAGUGGGGAAUAUUGGACAAUGGGCGAAAGCCUGAUCCAGCAAUGCCGCGUGAGUGAUGAAGGCCUUAGGGUUGUAAAGCUCUUUUACCCGGGAUGAUGAUGACAGUACCGGGAGAAUAAGCUCCGGCUAACUCCGUG
rnacentral:rRNA from 1 species